UUUAUUUGCAUGUAUUGCUAUAUUUAUUACAAAAAAACAUGUGCUCAACUGAUUUAUCCCGAGUUGUCGGCAUUCUCCGCUCGAUGUAUCCACAAGUCGAGACUCUGGAGGGGUUCUCAAAGAGGAUAGUGUUUUCAGAAGGACGUCCGUUGGUUCUUGUGGAGGAGUCUGACUCAAAUCGCUUCAAAGCAUUCGUUACUGAAACGUUUGUUUGCUACGACAAGAUUACAUUACAGGAACCAAGCUGCAAACAGAUCUGUUCUGUGUCAGAGCUUCUGGCUUUCAUCCUGAACACUUUGAAGAGGAAACGGAAAAGAAACAUCUUAACAUAUGGCUAUGGUUUCAAGUUUAAUACCCAAGGAGAGCAGACUGGAAACUGCUUUGCGUUCCAAAGUAAUUUGUCUCAAAAUGCAGCCUACAUUUUUGGCAGUGACCUGUGGACGAAGGUCAUUACGCGUCUGGGUACAGAUGUGACGCGGUGUCUUCUGGAGAACUGCUCUAUAUUCGUAGCAGUCCCUCCAACAUGUUUGUUUCAAGUGUGUGGUGUGCCUGCCUAUGACCAAGUCCCACCCACCAGUCUACUGCCUGGAUUCAGCCUACAAUCCCGAUCCCGGACAAAGAACAAAGCUCCGUUUGGAGGUCGUAACACUCUGAGAGGGAAACAAUGCCUUGAUAGUCAGGCAUGUGCAGUUAUGGAUGACAGAAUUGUUCAGAUGAAAAGGAAGAGAUAUCAAAUGAAUGAAGAUGAAACUACUGAACAUUCCAAAAAAAGGAGGCGAUUAGAUCAGUAUGAGGCCACCAGUAUAGACCAAAGUUUAUCCACAGAUUCAGCGGCUGCAUGUGAUCUGGUUUACGACAAAGGAUCUGCUUCUAACAAAUCUCCUCACACCUCAAUUUUAACUGGGAACGAAGAAAAUGUCUCAAAAUCAGUGCCUACCAAAACUUUGCCUCCCUCACAAUACUUCAUUCGCACUUUGGGCUUUGUUUAUGGAGGCACUGGAAUGUGUGCGUUCAUCCUUAACAAGAAGAAGAAGGUUGGGGAAGCAUCUAGACGACUGCUCGGAGAAGAUUUGGUCCGAAUAAUUUUCCUCAAAGGUCCAGAUUAUCUCAAAGAACAAGAGAAAAACCAGAGGAAAUUACCCAGGCGCUUAUUUUACAUGGUCCCGUUCUUUACCAAGCUACUCAGCCAGCACAAGAAAUGUUCUUACAGGAGGCUCCUACAGAAGAUGUGUCCACUAGUGAAGAAGACAAGCGAUGGAAACGAGGACUUGAACUUACUCCUUCGCCAGUGCUGCUCACCUCAUCGUGUGUACCUGUUUGUGAGGGAGUGCCUAGCCACUGUGAUUCCCCCUGAACUCUGGGGCUCAGAGGACAAUCAACGACAUUUCUACGCAAGAGUCAGCAGUUUCCUGCGCAGAGGGAAGUUUGAGAUGAUAUCUAUAGGAGAACUCAUGUGGAAGAUGAAAGUGAAUGAUUGCAACUGGUUGAAGAUCAGUAAGACAGGCAGGAUCCCACCCAGCGAGCUUGCAUAUCGCACACGGCUCCUGGGUCAGUUUUUGGGCUGGCUACUUGAAGGUUAUGUGACUGGCUUGGUAAGGUGUUGCUUCUAUGUGACUGAGGGUGUCAACCAGAAGAACGCUCUGAAGUUCUAUCGCCACGAUGUCUGGCCCAAAUUGCGAGACUUGGCUUUCAGAAACCAUGUUUCUGAAUGCCAGAUUGAAGAGCUGGCCCCUGAUGAAGUGAUGUCCCUCCCCAGUACAACAGUGAUCUCCCGCCUUCGCUUCAUUCCGAAGACAGACGGAAUGAGAGCAAUCACUGCUGUCGUUGGAGCUGACGCCAAAACAAAGUUUCACAGAAUGCGUCUGCAGGACCUAAAAGCCAUCUUGCUAGCUUGUGUGAAAUCGUCUCCAUCCCUUCUGGGUUCAACAGUUUGGGGAAUGAGUGGAAUUCACAAAGUGCUGUCUUCCUUUGCUCCAUUGAAGAAGGAGAGAGUGGAACCUUUUUACUUUGUAAAGGUGGAUGUGAGUGGGGCUUACAACAGUCUUCCUCACAAGAAACUCCAAGAAGUCAUAGGUCAGGCGCUGGCCUCCGUCGAUGACAAAGACUUCAACAUACGUACGUUUGUUAAAAUCUGGGCCGACUCCCAUGAAGGUAUUCGGAGGUCCUUUGAACUAAAGGCGAACAUCGUUGACGAAAUUGCAGGCACACCCAGCAUGAAAAACUUUGUUGCCUCACUGCAAAGAAGCAAGACAGCUCACCAUGCCAUUCUGGUGGAGCAGCAUUUCUCUUCAGGUCACUAUGUCAAAGAGCAGUUGGAGUUCUUUACACAAAUGCUUACAGGGAACAUUAUCCAGCACGGGAAGAGAAUGUAUCGUCGGUGUCAAGGGAUUCCUCAGGGGUCUCUUGUGUCAAGUCUUCUGUGCUGCCUCUGCUACGGUCACAUGGAGAACACGCUCUUUAAAGAUUUUCCGAAAGACAAAGUGUGUUUCAUGAGGCUGAUCGAUGAUUUCCUGCUGAUCACCACGGAAAAAUGGAGAGCCAAAUCCUUUCUCAUGACCUUGUUUGAUGGGGUGCCUGAGUAUGGCCUUGUAGCCAACCCGCAGAAGGUGGUGGCAAACUUCCAAGCGUCCACAUGGUCCCAUCAUGGCAUUACCACGCUGCCCUAUCACUCUCUCUUCCCCUGGUGUGGUUUACUUCUUGACACAAAAUCGCUGGAAGUCUAUAAGGAUUACUCCAGCUAUGCAGGUCUGUCUCUACGCUACACUCUCACCCUGGGCUCUGUCAUCUCACCCGGUCAACAGAUGAGAAGAAAAUUGAUGGGCAUCAUCAGACUCAAAUGUCAUUCUGUCUUCGUGGACUUAAAGACCAACUCACUGGAAACGGUGUACAAGAACGUCUACCACUUGGUGUUACUUCAUGCAUGCAGGUUCCAUGUUUGUGCCCAGAGUUUGCCCUUUGGCCAGACUGUUUCGAAGAAUCCCCGCUACUUCCUGAACAUGAUUCAGGAUAUGGCCCACUACACCAACAGGCUGAUCAGACUGAGCAACAAAGGUGAGAUGUUGGGUUGCAAGAGCCAGACAGGCAUGCUGCAGUAUGAAGCUGUGGAGCUGAUUUUCUGCAACUCAUUUGUGAUGAUGAUGUCUAAACACCGCAGCAUGUACAAGGAUGUUCUUCUGCACCUCCGCAAAUGGAAGCGCAGCCUGGAGCAGCGUCUUGGAGAUCUAAGGGUGGCCAUAGUCAGACAGGUGACUCAGUCCAAGACCCCAGUGGACUUUUUGGCCUGCUUGUUUUAGACUGGCACCAACGUGUUUAGAACGAAAGGACCACAGCAGCAGACAGGAAUUGGUAUGGAAUCACCCUUUACGGAGUACUCUUUAAACUUACUCUUCUACUUGGAUUCCUUCACAUCAUCUUGUGGUUUCAGUGGAUAAGGGUUGUUUGGCUGUGUUUCAAAACAAAACAAUUACCUUCUUAUCAGCUCCGAAAAUAUGAAUCACUUAUAAAACAAUAACUCUAGCUGCAGGAGGAAUGAAGAUGGCGGAAAAGUGUCCACGAAAGACGCUCAUGGUUGUUUGGACUUUGAUUUACACUUUGCAGUACUUUUCCGUGAAAAAAGUGCCAGCGCCACCACCUCGUACUUAGCUGAAGUCGGAUCUCAGAAUCACAAUCAUCUCUUGACUCUUUUCUCACACUGUGCUUGUACAUACCUGUGUCCAUGAAAGAUUUUGCCUUUUGGUCUGUUAUUUGGAUGUGUAUAAAAGAAGUAUUCAAUUAUAAAACUACAGUCAUGAAAAUCAGAGGAACUGUCCAAAUGAGUUUGUGUCUCUAAACACCUUGCCGCUUGUAUUCCUGUAAGUCACUGUCGAAGCCGUGGUUGUCAUAUGGGCUUAGUUCCCUUUUUUUGGAAUGCCUCCUGACUCCCCAGCAUAUGACUUUGUAGAGCGCCACCAAUGGAAUGGAAACCACAGGCACGGAGGAGAGGAGCACUAUGAUGGCAAACACCCAGUCUGGAUCUCAAAGAAGGCGAUAAUGAGCAGAGGUACGGAGCCCACGUAGCCAUUGAAGACCUCCACCCAGUAGUUCCCAGAUCCCAGGGUGAAGAUGAGAGAGAUGGCAAAGUCUCGGUUGAAUUCUCAGUACCUGUCAAUGCUUCGUUAGGGAGCCACUUUGGCACCAAAUUGAGGUCAUUUAUGGGAGUGAGAACUCCUUCCAAGUUUCCAAACAUGGAGGAGAGUCCCAAGCUGAAGAGCAUCACGAAGAACAGAAUGGCCCACACCUGGGAGCCUGGCAUCGACAGCACUGCUUCAGUAAACACAAUGAAGGCCAGGCCGGUUCCUGAAGCGCUCUGGGGAGGCAAGAGAAAUACUUUGGCUGCUGAGCAUGUCCUGUACAGAGUCAAACUACAAGAAGGGAGUGAGCAGCAACCUGGUCAAGGAAAUCAUUCAGGUCACAUUCUUUCAGCGGUACGUUGGCGAAUUCUUCAGGCCAUGUCUGAUUUAAAUACUUCUCCCAGUAGUUAUAGUUCUCCACUGUGAUGUUCUGGUCAGGCCACUCAAAGUGAUUAGUCAAAGCUAUGAUGUUCCUGCACGAGAAGAAAGGGAGGGGUGAUUUCAACAGAGAGAGAGUUUAGUGAACCUUUAGUGAAACUUCACAUACAUAAAAAUAUA